rnacentral:rRNA from 1 species
AGAGUUUGAUCCUGGCUCAGGAUGAACGCUGGCGGCGUGCUUAACACAUGCAAGUCGAACGAAGCGGUAGAAGGAAGUUUUCGGAUGGAAUUCUGACUGACUGAGUGGCGGACGGGUGAGUAACGCGUGGGUAACCUGCCUCAUACAGGGGGAUAACAGUUAGAAAUGACUGCUAAUACCGCAUAAGCGCACAGGAUUGCAUGAUCCAGUGUGAAAAACUCCGGUGGUAUGAGAUGGACCCGCGUCUGAUUAGCUGGUUGGCGGGGUAACGGCCCACCAAGGCGACGAUCAGUAGCCGACCUGAGAGGGUGACCGGCCACAUUGGGACUGAGACACGGCCCAAACUCCUACGGGAGGCAGCAGUGGGGAAUAUUGCACAAUGGGGGAAACCCUGAUGCAGCAACGCCGCGUGAGUGAAGAAGUAUUUCGGUAUGUAAAGCUCUAUCAGCAGGGAAGAAAAUGACGGUACCUGAAGAAGCCCCGACUANCUACGUGCCAGCAGCCGCGGU